UUCUCCUGGAAACGGGUGGUAAUGCCGGAUGCUCCGACUCCUCGCAUGGGGUGUCGGGAAAGAUUUCAUCGGUAUGGGAUGGGGUCGCGUCCUAUCAGGUAGUCGGCGGGGUAACGGCCCACCGAGCCUACGACGGGUAGCCGGCCUGAGAGGGCGACCGGCCACAUUGGGACUGAGAUACGGCCCAGACUCCUACGGGAGGCAGCAGUGGGGAAUAUUGCACAAUGGGCGCAAGCCUGAUGCAGCGACGCCGCGUGCGGGAUGACGGCCUUCGGGUUGUAAACCGCUUUUGAUCGGGAGCAAGCCUUCGGGUGAGUGUACCUUUCGAAUAAGCACCGGCUAACUACGUGCCAGCAGCCGCGGUAAUACGUAGGGUGCAAGCGUUAUCCGGAAUUAUUGGGCGUAAAGGGCUCGUAGGCGGUUCGUCGCGUCCGGUGUGAAAGUCCAUCGCUUAACGGUGGAUCUGCGCCGGGUACGGGCGGGCUGGAGUGCGGUAGGGGAGACUGGAAUUCCCGGUGUAACGGUGGAAUGUGUAGAUAUCGGAAAAGAAC
rnacentral:rRNA from 1 species